UACGAAGGGGGCUAGCGUUGCUCGGAAUCACUGGGCGUAAAGGGUGCGUAGGCGGGUUUUUAAGUCAGAGGUGAAAUCCUGGAGCUCAACUCCAGAACUGCCUUUGAUACUGAAAGUCUUGAGUCCGGGAGAGGUGAGUGGAACUGCGAGUGUAGAGGUGAAAUUCGUAGAUAUUCGCAAGAACACCAGUGGCGAAGGCGGCUCACUGGCCCGGUACUGACGCUGAGGUGCGAAAGCGUGGGGAGCAAACAGG
rnacentral:rRNA from 1 species